UACGGAGGGGGCAAGCGUUAUUCGGAAUCAUUGGGCGUAAAGGGCGUGUAGGCGGCUUCGUGUGUCUUAUGUGAAAGCCCUCGGCUCAACCGGGGAACUGCAUGAGAAACUGCGGAGCUUGAGUCCGGGAGAGGAGAGUGGAAUUCCCAGUGUAGCGGUGAAAUGCGUAGAUAUUGGGAGGAACACCAGUGGCGAAGGCGGCUCUCUGGACCGGUACUGACGCUGAGACGCGAAAGCCAGGGGAGCAAACGGG
rnacentral:rRNA from 1 species